rnacentral:rRNA from 1 species
GUGGGGAAUAUUGGACAAUGGGGGGAACCCUGAUCCAGCCAUGCCGCGUGUGUGAAGAAGGCCUUUUGGUUGUAAAGCACUUUAAGCGAGGAGGAGGCUACCGAGAUUAAUACUCUUGGAUAGUGGACGUUACUCGCAGAAUAAGCACCGGCUAACUCUGUGCCAGCAGCCGCGGUAAUACAGAGGGUGCAAGCGUUAAUCGGAUUUACUGGGCGUAAAGCGCGCGUAGGUGGCCAAUUAAGUCAAAUGUGAAAUCCCCGAGCUUAACUUGGGAAUUGCAUUCGAUACUGGUUGGCUAGAGUAUGGGAGAGGAUGGUAGAAUUCCAGGUGUAGCGGUGAAAUGCGUAGAGAUCUGAAGGAAUACCGAUGGCGAAGGCAGCCAUCUGGCCUAAUACUGACACUGAGGUGCGAAAGCAUGGGGAGCAAACAGGAUUAGAUACCCUGGUAGUCC